UCUCAGCAGUGCUCUGUGUUCUGUGGAAGCCCUAGCCUGGGGUGCAUCAGGCCCAGCACUGUUGAUCAGCUUGGGAUAUUCUGUGGUUCUGUGAAGAAGAUAUUUGGAUGUUUUCAAACCAGACUUUGCUCCAGGAGGUGCUCUGGGAAGGGCUCAGGAAGGACAAAACUCAUCAUGUAUUGGACACAUUAGAAGAUGCGAAGAUCAAAGUGUCUCCUAGAAAGCAUCAGAAACCUAUCUGGAUUUUUGGCUUUAUUUGGUCGACUUCUUACAGUAUGUUGCAGCUGUUACACCCAAACAGGCAGGGAACAUUUACUGUCUUACAGUGGUAGCG